rnacentral:lncRNA from 1 species
GUUCACAUUACUGAACCUCCAAAACUCAGUUUCCCCAUUUGGCAGAAGGAGCCAAGAGGACCCAACCAGCAGGGUGGUUGCACCUAAUGUGAAAUCACAUCAUGGAAACCUCCUCAUGCAGAACCCAGUGGUCGGAGUCACUCGGAUGAGGAAAAGGCUGGGGAGCACCACCAUGGAGGAAUAGUGAAGAGCAGGCAUUUGAGAAGCUCUACUCGGCUGUGUGACCUUGGGCGGUUAUCUAAGCCACUGGGGUCAGCUUCCCCACCUGGAAAAGCAAGAUAGCAACAGAGGGUACUUCCUGCCACGGAGGCCGUCUCCUUUGCCUUCACAACAGUAUAAUGGGUACUAUUAUUCUUCCUGC